AAGUCGUAACAAGGUUUUCGUAGGUGAACCUGCGGAAGGAUCAUUAACACGUAUCCAACGUAAAAACAACCCUGUGAACCUUCAAACGUGAUCGCCUAGCAAUCCCUGGUAAAUCAUUGUUGACCAGCUAUUGAGUCAGGGACCUCUAGGCUAUGGAUCAGAUUGCUGGAGGCCCCACACGGCCGACCGGGCCUCUGUGCCUUGUGCACCUAAUGACCCCAAUGUUUCUGACCCGGUGCGCUGUCAACCGCACCACAAACUCGAACAACUGUUAACAAUGGAUAUCUUGGUUCUC
rnacentral:misc_RNA from 1 species